rnacentral:tRNA from 1 species
GCUGGGGUACCGAAGCGGCCAAACGGGUGUGGCUGUAAACCACAUGGCUUUAUGCCUUCGGGGGUUCGAAUCCCUCCCCCAGCA